rnacentral:rRNA from 1 species
UGGGGAAUUUUGGACAAUGGGCGAAAGCCUGAUCCAGCAAUGCCGCGUGUGUGAAGAAGGCCUUCGGGUUGUAAAGCACUUUUGUCCGGAAAGAAAUCCUUGGCUCUAAUACAGUCGGGGGAUGACGGUACCGGAAGAAUAAGCACCGGCUAACUACGUGCCAGCAGCCGCGGUAAUACGUAGGGUGCAAGCGUUAAUCGGAAUUACUGGGCGUAAAGCGUGCGCAGGCGGUUUGCUAAGACCGAUGUGAAAUCCCCGGGCUCAACCUGGGAACUGCAUUGGUGACUGGCAGGCUAGAGUAUGGCAGAGGGGGGUAGAAUUCCACGUGUAGCAGUGAAAUGCGUAGAGAUGUGGAGGAAUACCGAUGGCGAAGGCAGCCCCCUGGGCCAAUACUGACGCUCAUGCACGAAAGCGUGGGGAGCAAACAGGAUUAGUACCCUGGUAGUCCACGCCCUAAACGAUGUCAACUAGUUGUUGGGGAUUCAUUUCCUUAGUAACGUAGCUAACGCGUGAAGUUGACCGCCUGGGGAGUACGGUCGCAAGAUU